CCUACUCGGGCCUCGGCAGCGCACAAGGAAUCCCAACAGAAUAAUUACUGGAAACUUCUCAACUUUGACCUCCUCAUGCUACCCGGGCCGCUGGAAACUCGUGUGUUUUAUAGAAACCGCGUUCCACUUACCUCGCCGACCACAAACCGACCAUCCCCUCAACCGACUUAAAUCUUCUAUUUAAUGUACAGAACAUCUCCACAUUGUUUCUCGUCCUUUCCUUUUUUUUUUUCGGUCGUUCUCUGGUAGCUUUCGAUUUGAGGCCAGCUCUGUGUUCUUUUUUUCGUUUCGUCGUGCGAUUUCGAUCUCGAUCAUGUAUCCACUAAUUAUUCUGGAAUUAUUGAUCCAUGAUAUGUUAGGGCGAUUUGGAUGAUACGUUAGGGCGAUUUGGAUCUCGAUCUUGAAUAAUUUUAGGGCACUGAUCGUUAUUGAGGGUUCUGACUGUGCUGGAGUUAGAUCUGUCUUUAGAUCAGUUUUAUCAUUCUGUGCUCUGCUGAUCUGACUUCUUUUGGUUGUACCUUAAUUGGAUCCCAAACACACAAUUCUUGGGGUAUCUGGUAUGUUAACGCUGACCUUAUGUGAUUUGGUCAUUCUUGGACAUGCUUAGGGCAUUGCUCGCUGUUGAUAUUUUCAGAUGGUUAAUGGGAUUAGUCCUGGUAGUAGUGCUGCCGUUGAUUCUGAUAGGUGUUCUAUGGUUUUGAUAUACCAGAUUGAAGAUCAUUUCCUGAGCAGUCUUGAGAUAUGUACUGUAAGAUUUUUGGUGUCCAACUUAGGCACUGUAUGAUUUUUUCUGUCCAAUUCUUCUUUUAUGAAUUUUGAUCUGGUAGAUGGCAAGGAAUAGGUUUCUUUUCAA